rnacentral:rRNA from 1 species
UGAAGGCAUCUAAGCGUGAAGCCCACCUCGAGAAUAAGAUUCCAGGCAGCAAUGCGAGAGACCCCUGGAAGACUACCAGGUGAUAGGUCGUCGGUGGAAGCGCAGUAAUGUGUGUAGCUUGACGAUACUAAUCGGUCGAUAGCUUGAUUUA